rnacentral:misc_RNA from 1 species
GAAUCAUCGGAUACCAAGUUG